rnacentral:rRNA from 1 species
UGAGUUUGAUCAUGGCUCAGAACGAACGCUGGCGGCGUGCCUAACACAUGCAAGUCGAACGUGAUCCGCCCUUCGGGGUGGUGAAAGUGGCGCACGGGUGAGUAACGCGUGGAUAAUCUGCCCGAGGAUUUGGGAUAACAUCUCGAAAGGGGUGCUAAUACCGAAUAAGCCCACGGGGUCUACGGAUCUUGCGGGAAAAGGGGGGGACCUUCGGGCCUCCUGUCCUUGGAUGAGUCUGCGUACCAUUAGCUAGUUGGUGGGGUAAUGGCCUACCAAGGCGACGAUGGUUAGCUGGUCUGAGAGGAUGAUCAGCCACACUGGAACUGAGACACGGUCCAGACUCCUACGGGAGGCAGCAGUGGGGAAUUUUGCGCAAUGGGGGAAACCCUGACGCAGCAACGCCGCGUGGGUGAUGAAGGCCUUCGGGUCGUAAAGCUCUGUCUGGAGGGAAGAAAUGAUUGGGAGCUAAUACCUCUUGAUCUUGACGGUACCUCUGAAGGAAGCACCGGCUAACUCCGUGCCAGCAGCCGCGGUAAUAC